AUACGUAGGGGGCGAGCGUUGUCCGGAAUUAUUGGGCGUAAAGAGUUCGUAGGCGGUUUUUUAAGUCAGAUGUGAAAGGCUACAGCUCAACUGUGGUAAGCAUUUGAAACUGAAAGACUUGAGUUAAGGAGAGGAAAGUGGAAUUCCUAGUGUAGCGGUGAAAUGCGUAGAUAUUAGGAGGAACACCAGUGGCGAAGGCGACUUACUGGACGAUAACUGACGCUGAGGCUCGAAAGCGUGGGGAGC
rnacentral:rRNA from 1 species